AUGGAUAAUCUGGAAAUGGAUAAACAGGAUAAUACGGAGAAGAUGGGAAGAGUAAAAGACACGGUAUAUAGCGGAAUAGGAACGGCAGAGACGGAAUUGAAGGUGAGAAUGGAAAAGUUAAUAAAGAAGUGUAAAGACAGGGAAAAACAGAGAGAAAAAGGGAAUAUCGGAGAAAAGGAUGAAGGCUUAGUGGAAAAGGGUAAAAAGGACUCCGGUGUAUUGGAAGCAGAAGGACCGAAGGCAACGGAUACUGGAAUUAACGAAGUAAACAAGGAAGGAAAGAAAGGUGAUGAUGAUAGAAAUGGGGAGGAACCGGAAAUUAUGGAGGUAUCUAUACCUGAAGGGUCGUAUGAAGGCGAGCCGGAGGUAACACAAGGAUAUAAGCGGGUAAGAUCGGCCUCGCUGAGCACGGACUCGAGCGGGAGACCUUCCCCGGUGAAAUGGGAAACGAAAACUCUGUUGAAAGGGAAAGCAAGGAGCUUUAAAAGAUUUGCGGUAGAGCAAGAAGACUUACCGCCAGGAUUUGACGAUGUGCUAGAGGUUAAAAGGGGCAUAGAGGAGGAGCUCCUGAGCUUUAUAAAAGCGCAGAAGACGAAGGGCUAUUUAUAUAGUAGGGUUAAAGAAGAUAUUGAAAAGACGCGAAUACAGGAUGAAAGAUUGAGGUGCAUGACCGCAGAUACAGUGGUGGCGGAGAGAGGGAUGACCAUAAGGAACAGGCUGGAAGGCACGGACCUGCUAGCGGAAAAGAUCGCGAAAAGAUUGGAGAAAACAGCACUGGAGGGAGUUGGGGUAACUAUGGUUAAAACAAUGCAGGAGAGCAUAGGGGUUGCAAUGCAGGCACGUAGUGAUAUCGAGAAUGAAGUAAUGGAUCAGUUAGAAGUGUGGAAGAGACAAAUUGAAAGGGUAAUAGAAGAAAACACGGAGAAUCAGAGGACUCACUUCACAGAGGUUUCAGAAAGACUCGCAAAAUUGGGAAAUAAGGUUACUGAUUUAGUGGCAAACGUGGAAGCAAGAGAGAAGGGAAGGAUAACGGAAAUCAAGGAAAUGAAGGAAAUAAAACGAGCAAUAGAAGAAAAAAUCGGAAAAUCAGGAGAACAGGUUGAUUGA
rnacentral:lncRNA from 1 species